UACGUAGGGGGCUAGCGUUGUCCGGAAUCAUUGGGCGUAAAGAGCGUGUAGGCGGCCCGGUAAGUCCGCUGUGAAAGUCGGGGGCUCAACCCUCGAAUGCCGGUGAUACUGUCGGGCUAGAGUGCGGAAGAGGCGAGUGGAAUUCCCGGUGUAGCGGUGAAAUGCGCAGAUAUCGGGAGGAACACCAAUGGCGAAGGCAGCUCGCUGGGACGUUACUGACGCUGAGACGCGAAAGCGUGGGGAGCAAACAGG
rnacentral:rRNA from 1 species